GUAGGAAGAUGGUGUCCACAUCUCAGCUCCUUGGGCUUCUGCUCUUCUGGGUUUCAGCCUCCAGAGGUGACAUUGUGCUGACUCAGUCUCCAGCCACCCUGUCUGUGACUCCAGGAGAAAGAGUCACCAUGACCUGCAAGGCCAGCCAGGGUGUUAGCAAUUACUUACACUGGUAUCAGCAAAAAUCAAAUGAGGCUCCAAGGCUUCUUAUCAAGUUGGCUUCCCAGUCAGUCUCUGGAAUCCCCUCCAGGUUCAGUGGCAGUGGGUCAGGGACAGAUUUCACCCUCAGCAUCAACACUGUGGAGCCUGAAGAUGUUGCAACUUAUUACUGUCAACAGGGUUACAGUGGAUGUCCCACAGUGAUACAGACCAUAGCAAAAACCACCAGGAAAGCAGAAGUGUGAGUUUGGGCUGCUUCAUCUGCUUCUGGUGAUGCCUCCAUCUUCUUCAAAGUGUUUUACAGAUGCAGCCAGAGUUGCCUCUGAACUCUCUUCACUUCAUUUCGGCUCCAGAAUACAUAGCCUACAAUGGAUGUGGUGCUUUAAUCAGACAAUCUUCCUACAAUGUACUACAAUCCAGAGAAAAUCUCAGCCUAGAUGCACAGUGGAAAUGAUUGACUCAAUGUUCUUAUAAUUGUGGGAAGUGCAUAUAAAGCAUUGCCUGAACUUAUAGCCUAUAGCGUACUCCUGUCCCCAGGGAUAUGAGAGCUGAAA